GUUUUAAAAAUUAGUGUGUUGUUAAUUAGAGCAUAGAAGUUUAUUAAGUAAUUAACAUGAUACGUUUAUUAAGAAACUUUUGCUUCUUUGGACGUUUAUUGGGAGUUUAAUUUGGUCUUUUUCAUUUGUUUAUACACAGCCCAUGUUUUAUUGAAAGAGCGGAAGCUCUCCAUGGAAGAUCCUUCACAUGAGGUAAAGAGCAAAGAAGAGACAAAUAAAGAGAGAUGAGAAUGGCUGAAUCUACUCGUAUAAGAGCGAACCCCAACAAAGUUCCCGUGAAUAUGGGAAGGCUAGACAGAGUGAUGUUCCUUACAUUGACAAGAAGAAGUGAGUAAAUGAUACAUCUUAUCUCUAUCUCUUUUGUUGGUUUUAGUAGUUUACUGUGGUUGUGAUUGUUUUGUGGAUAAAUUAUAAAUGUUCUUUGUCAGAGCUAAUUUGUUUUGCUGUCUCAAGUGAGUGCAGCCCAAGAUUUUGCUAUCUCAAGUGCAGUCUCAAGUGCAGUCUCAAGUCAAGUCCCAAGUGAGUGCAGCCCAAAAUCUACACAUAUUAGAAAUUAGGCUCAGCUUAGAUAUGAGAACAAGUUUGUUAAUUUUGGUACUUGUAAUCUUAGUUUAAGCCUUGGAUUGAGACAUUUUACUUGUAUGGUGUGGAUGAUUUACGAAAUGUAAAUAUUUUAUAUAAAUUUUAAAAGAGGUUUUCGCAAA